rnacentral:rRNA from 1 species
UACGAGGGGGGCGAGCGUUGUUCGGAAUUAUUGGGCGUAAAGGGUGCGUAGGCGGUUUGGUAAGUCUCGUGUGAAAUCUACAGGCUCAACUUGUAGUCUGCACGAGAAACUGCCGGGCUUGAGUGUGGGAGAGGUGAGUGGAAUUCCCGGUGUAGCAGUGAAAUGCGUAGAUAUUACCAGGAACACCAAUGGCGAAGGCAGCUUGCUGGGCCACUCCUGACACUGAGGUACGAAAGCGUGGGGAGCGAACAGG